UAAGGAAACAAACCAAAUUGUUUGACAGCAGUUUCAUUUGACAGUUCCUUCUGGAGCUUACUAGUGGAAAUGGCUUCACCUCAGAGAAUAAGGAAUUAAUUUCCUUUCAUAGUAGCUGCUAAAUCAGGGGUGUAUGGCAGGUAGCUCCAGAAACUCUAUGUUGCAGUUCUCAAGAGUUGACGUAUAAAGAGAGCUAGAGCAGCCCAGAAGAGGAGAGGAGGAGGUGUUUAGACAACCAGUGGCCAGUAAUGACUACCUUGGUACUCUGCCAUGGUUCCAGUGCACCAGGCUGGUUGGCCAUGGCCAUAGCACAGCACAAUCCAGCUGCUUCCUUUGACACAAACCCUGUGCCUGCAACAAUAUGUCUCAAUCUCAGUCUGAGAAGGUUGGACACCCCGCUGUGUAGCAGGAAGAAGGUUCUCCUUACACAGGAAGAAGUACCUGUCACUACUGGAAGGGUCCACAAAUCAGUAAGAGGUCAUAGUUACCAAGGCAUUAAUUCUUC